rnacentral:rRNA from 1 species
UCCGUAGGCGGGCAAUUAAGUCAGAGGUGAAAUCCCACAGCUCAACUGUGGAACUGCCUUUGAUACUGGUUGUCUUGAGUUACAGUGAAGUAGAUAGAAUAUGUAGUGUAGCGGUGAAAUGCAUAGAUAUUACAUAGAAUACCGAUUGCGAAGGCAGUCUACUAACUGUAUACUGACGCUAAUGGACGAAAGCGUGGCGAGCGAACAGGAUUAGAUACCCUGGUAGUC